GAUGAACGCUGGCGGCGUGCUUAAUACAUGCAAGUCGAGCGGAUGGACGCGAAGCUUGUUUCUUUGAUGUUAGCGGCGGACGGGUGAGUAACACGUGGAUAACCUCCCUAUAAUACUGAGAUCAUUUCGGGAAACCGGCGCUAAUCCCGUAUAAUAUCUUGAACCGUAUGGUUCAAAAGUGAGAGACGGUCUUUCUGUCACUACUAGCUGCAUCCGAGCUUCAUUAGCUAGUUGGUAAGGUAACGGCUUACCAAGGCAACGAUGCAUAGCCGAUCUGACAGGGUGAUCGGCCACACUGGAGCUGAGACACGGUCCAGACUCCUACGGGAGGCAGCAGUAGGGAAUCUGCCGCAAUGGGCGAAAGCCUGACGGAGCAGCGCCGCGUGAGUGAUGAAGGUCUUCGGAGCGGAAAACUCUGUUAUUAGGGAAGAACAGAUGUGUAAGUAACUGUGCACAGCGUGACGGUAACUAAUCAGAAAGCCACGGCUAACUACGUG
rnacentral:rRNA from 1 species